rnacentral:rRNA from 1 species
UUACCCAAUCCCGAUUCGGGGAGGUAGUGACAAUAAAUAACAAUACAGGGCCAACGGUCUUGUUAUUGGAAUGAGAACAAUUUAAAUAACUUAACGAGGAUCAAUUAGAGGGCAAGUCUGGUGCCAGCAGCCGCGGUAAUUCCAGCUCUAAUAGCGUAUAUUAAAGUUGUUGCAGUUAAAAAGCUCGUAGUCGGAUGUCGGGCUCGGGCAAGCUGUCGGCCUUUGGUCGGACGGCAGGCUCGGGUCUUUCUGCCUGAGGAACCCGGUUGCUUUAACGAGCUGCCGGUGGACGCAGGUCGUUUACUUUGAAAAAAUUAGAGUGUUCAAAGCAGGCUAGCGCUUGAAUACAUUAGCAUGGAAUAAUGGAAUAGGACUUUGGUACUAUUUUGUUGGUUUAUGGGACCGAAGUAAUGAUUAACAGGGACAGUUGGGGCCGUUUAUAUUUCGUUGUCAGAGGUGAAAUUCUUGGAUUUACGAAAGAUAAACUUCUGCGAAAGCAUUCGGCAAGGAUGUUUUCAUUGAUCAAGAACGAAAGUUAGGGGAUCGAAGACGAUCAGAUACCGUCGUAGUCUUAACCAUAAACUAUGCCGACUAGGGAUCAGUGGAUGUCAAUUUGCGACUCCAUUGGCACCUUGUGAGAAAUCAAAGUUUUUGGGUUCCGGGGGGAGUAUGGUCGCAAGGCUGAAACUUAAAGGAAUUGACGGAAGGGCACCACCAGGAGUGGAGCCUGCGGCUUAAUUUGACUCAACACGGGGAAACUUACCAGGUCCAGACAUAGUAAGGAUUGACAGAUUGAAAGCUCUUUCUUGAUUCUAUGGGUGGUGGUGCAUGG